AGAGCAGCGGCAAGAACAGCAGCAAGCAACGACAGUACGCAGCAGCAAGCAGCCACAGCAGCGGGGUAAGGCCAUGGCGCACCAGCGCGCCGACAGGAGUAGCAGCGGUGACGCAGACAUGCACAGGCCGCCGGGCACGCGCUGGGGGCGCGGCUGUGGCGCCAUCAGGAGGCCUGCGAGGUGCGGCCGGUGCAGGGUGAGCACGAGCGUGAGCAGGCGCACGGGGGAGCAGAGCUCCGAGCGCGGCCACGGAAGGACGCGGAAGAUGGCUACACCGACGAAUCAAGGCAGAAAAUAGUGGGGAAUGGAGGAGGAGCUCACAGUGAACACUAAGGCGAGGUCGGGGAGGCCGGAGGUGGUCGGAGACGGGCGGAUCGAGCAGCGAGGUGCGGCGGCCGUAGACGAAGGAGAUCGGCCGAUGCGUGGGCGCAGUGCGAUUCCAGUUGAAUCGCUCCUUGUAGUCGACGUAGAUGGAUGCAGUGCACCUCCCGCACACUCAAUCGUGGCUCGG
rnacentral:lncRNA from 1 species